UUGAACGCUGGCGGAAUGCUUUACACAUGCAAGUCGAGCGGCAGCGCGGGGCAACCUGGCGGCGAGCGGCGAACGGGUGAGUAAUAUAUCGGAACGUACCCUGUCGUGGGGGAUAACGCAGCGAAAGCUGUGCUAAUACCGCAUACGAUCUAAGGAUGAAAGCGGGGGACCGAAAGGCCUCGCGCGAUUGGAGCGGCCGAUGUCAGAUUAGCUAGUUGGUGGGGUAAAGGCCCACCAAGGCAACGAUCUGUAGCUGGUCUGAGAGGACGACCAGCCACACUGGGACUGAGACACGGCCCAGACUCCUACGGGAGGCAGCAGUGGGGAAUUUUGGACAAUGGGCGCAAGCCUGAUCCAGCAAUGCCGCGUGCAGGAAGAAGGCCUUCGGGUUGUAAACUGCUUUUGUACGGAACGAAAAGGUCUGGGUUAAUACCCUGGGCCCAUGACGGUACCGUAAGAAUAAGCACCGGCUAACUACGU
rnacentral:rRNA from 1 species